rnacentral:rRNA from 1 species
GAUGAACGCUGGCGGCGUGCCUAAUACAUGCAAGUCGAGCGAACAGACGAGGAGCUUGCUCCUCUGACGUUAGCGGCGGACGGGUGAGUAACACGUGGUUAACCUACCUAUAAGACUGGGAUAACUUCGGGAAACCGGAGCUAAUACCGGAUAAUAUAUUGAACCGCAUGGUUCAAUAGUGAAAGACGGUUUUGCUGUCACUUAUAGAUGGAUCCGCGCCGCAUUAGCUAGUUGGUAAGGUAACGGCUUACCAAGGCAACGAUGCGUAGCCGACCUGAGAGGGUGAUCGGCCACACUGGAACUGAGACACGGUCGAGACUCCUACGGGAGGCAGCAGUAGGGAAUCUUACGCAAUGGGCGAAAGCUUGACGGAGCAACGCCGCGUGAGUGAUGAAGGUCUUAGGAUCGUAAAACUCUGUUAUUAGGGAAGAACAAAUGUGUAAGUAACUAUGCACGUCUUGACGGUACCUAAUCAGAAAGCCACGGCUAACUACGUG